rnacentral:ncRNA from 1 species
UUGAUAUUUAAUUAUGGUAUUAUAUAUAGAUUUAUGUAUGUAAUUUAUAUGAAUUUCGAUUUAAAUUUAAUUUUAGUAGUGUAUAAUUUUAAUUAUUAAGGAAUCUUAGAAUUAGUAAUGUAUAUAUAAAUAUUUGCUUAUUUUGUGCCAGCAGCAGCGGUUAUACAGAAAAUAUAAUUUAUAUUUAUUAGUUUUAAUUAAUAGAAUAUUUUUAAAUUAAAAUUUAAGUUAAAAGGUGAAAUUUUUUCUUAAUUUAAUUUUUUUUUGUUUUUAUGAAGUUAAGAAAUUUUUAUAUAAACUAGGAUUAGAUACCCUAUUAUUUUAAAUGUAAAUUAUUAAGCUAAGUGAUUAAUAGUUAAGUUCUUUAAAGCUAAAUAAUUUGGCGGUAUUUUAUACUUUUCAGAGGAACCUGUCCAUUAAGCGAUAAUCCACGAUUAAAUUAACUUUGAUUAGAAACUUUUAUAUCGUUGUUUAAAAAUAUUUUAUAAGAAUUUAAUAUUUAAAAUUUCUUUAUUUAGAAAUAAAUCAAAUCAAGGUGAAGUUUAUAUUAAAGAUGAGAUGGGUUACAUUUAAUUUUAUUAAUAGAUUAAAAUUUGAAAAAUUUUAUGAAAUUGGAUUUGAAAGUAAUUGAAAAAAUUUUUUUUUAAUGAUUUAGCACUAAAAUAUGUACAUAUUGCCCGUCGCUUUCAUUUAAUAUGGAAUAAGUCGUAACAUAGUAGAUUUACUGGAAAGUGUUUCUAGAAAGCA